rnacentral:lncRNA from 1 species
GUUUUUGUUUUUUAUUCAUUUCGGUAUUCUUUAAUUUUCGAGUUAAUUUUUCUCUAUUCUAUAUAUUUUUGCCCAUUCUUCUCAUUUUUCUUUCUUUUAACACCCUGUAUUUACUAUUCUUUACUGUUUUGGCAUUUUUUCUCCAUUACCGAUUUUUUUUGGAUUUAUUUUGUUGAAGUAUAGGCCCACUUAAUAAUGACUAUUCUGUUUACCCUAAGACCCUCAUAUAUGAUAUGAUACGAUAUAUUUUAAAUUCAAAGUGCAUCCUGAUAUAAUAUAUACAAAAUUUAGCACCAAAAUUACAAUUCAGUACAUCUGCAAUUGUAUAUUAUAUCAGCCAGUCUUU